rnacentral:rRNA from 1 species
CCUACGGGAGGCAGCAGUGGGGAAUAUUGGGCAAUGGGCGCAAGCCUGACCCAGCAACGCCGCGUGAAGGAAGAAGGCUUUCGGGUUGUAAACUUCUUUUCUCAGGGACGCAGAAAGUGAAGGUACCUGAGGAAUAAGCUACGGUUAACUACGUGCCAGCAGCCGCGGUAAUCCGUAGGUGGCAAGGGUUAUCCGGAUUUACUGUGUGUAAAGGGCGUGGAGGUGGACUGCAAGUAAGAUGUUAAUUCCACGGGAUAAACCUGUGACCUGUAUUUGAAAUUGUAGUUCUGGUGGACUGGUGAGGCAGACGGAAUGCGUAGUGUAGCGGUGGAAUGCAUAGAUAUUAGGAAGAACACCAGUUGCGAAGGCGGUCUGCUAGACAGCAACUGACGCUGAGGCACGAAAGCGUGGGCAGCAAACAGGAUUAGAUACCCGGGUAGUC